rnacentral:rRNA from 1 species
UACGUAGGGUGCAAGCGUUAUCCGGAAUUAUUGGGCGUAAAGGGUGCGUAGGCGGUUGUUUAAGUUAUAAAAUAAAUCUAUUCGUUUUAUAAUACUAUACGACUUGGGUUUGAGAGGAAAAAGCGGUACUCUUAGUUUAGAAGUGAAAUUCGUUUGAUAUUAAGAGGACCAACAGCCGGCGAUGGCUGCUUUUUAUUUCUAUACUGACGCUGAGGCACGAAAGCGUGGGGAGCGAACGAG